CCCCCGGGUGUCCGCCGCGCGUUUCUCCGCGCGCGCUCCCGCCCACGCCUGGGCACAAACGGAGUGUGCUUCCCCGGAUUCCUACUGCACGAUGUAAGUCACGGGAAAUCACCCGGCAAAUUCCCAGACCAGCCCCUGAGAAACGCGGGAAUCGACUUUCACGCCGGGAACCCACUGCAUCAGUGGCCGGCGCUUUUCCGGCAACUUCGGCUGGCGGCCCCGCCCCGACAGUCGCGGGGACACAGGCGGGCAAGCGCCUGACGCCCUACUCUCGCAACUCUUCAACGUUCCCUGCGGUAGGCGGGAACAGAAAGAAAAGAUCUAGGGGGGGGUUAAUUCCCCAUGCAAAAUCCUCCUCACGGCUCCACCCUUUUUGACCCUGGGACGCCAUUGCUUUACGAUCGUCGGUCGUGAAAUGACGGAGCGUUGCUGCGGUAAUGGCGGAAGCUAGACUUCUGCUUUGCGGCAAUGAUGUUGGCUGAGUCGGAUCCUGACACGCCCAGGCGCGCCGGAAGGGCUUCAGGUAACGGUGGCCGUGUGAAUAUCGUGCGUAUAGGGUUUAUUUCUUAAACUUUUUUUUUUUUUAAGUCUUCAGAAAGGCAAGAGUAACUUCCCUUUUCCAUUUUGGGAAUCAGACUCUGUUACUUCCAGAGAGACCUCUUCCCCUCAUCUUUUCCUUUAUGUCUUUACUCUUCUGCACGUUAGACCGUCUCUCCCCGCGGUCCUCCUAGACGUCUCACCGUUUUGAUUUUUUUUUUUUUUCUGUGCUUUUCGAGAAUCCUAGCCCCCGAGGUGAUCUUUCCUCCCGCUCUGUAGCGGAUCCCCGGCCGCCUCCGUCCGCGUUCUCUGUCUGAGGGAUGGAGCCUCACGGCCCUCGGGAAUCCCCACCUUGGGAGGGUUCUUCCUUGCCCGGAGUAUGGCCUUCCUCCGCCCUCGGGCAGGCCUUCUCCCAGAUCUUGCACCAGUUUGCCGGCCAGGAAUCCCGACGGGGCAAGGCCAGAAGUGCAGCUCUUGAGGACCUCGCUGCUCUGCUCGAAGCUAAAGAAUGUGAUCGGUUAUUUGAGGGGAGUGACGCCUCGCUCCGUGGAAUGCCCGAAAUGCUGGGGCAGGUGGCAAAAGCCCUAGGGAAGUAUGCAGCCCCUGCAGAGGAGCCGGAAGGGAGAGGUGACCGCCACUCCGAAGUGGCGGAGAAAGCGGCGGCAGUUGCGUUACUGUUUCUUCAGCUCUUGAGGAAGGUCGAGGCCGCCAAGAAUUCCUUGGUUUGCCCUGCGUGGAAGACAAGCCUCCGUCCCUUGGCAGGACCCAUCUAUGUUUUUGCGGUCACACACAGCUUGGAGCAACCGUGGACCAGCCCAAGAUCUCAAGAGGUCGCUGGACAGGUGCUCGCCUUAUUGCUUCAGGUCACUGAAUGUAGUUCUGUGGCUGGAUUCCUCCACGGAGAAAAUGAAGACGAGAAAGGGAGAUUUACUGUGAUCAUGGGGCUUCUCAAACCCGAUUUGAAUAAGGACUCCUGGAAGAAUAACCCAGCCACCAAAUACGUUUUCUCAUGGACUCUGCAAAAGGUCACUCGACCCUGGCUGAGCCAACAUCUGGAAAGAAUACUUCCUCCAUCAUUGCUCAUCUCAGAUGACUAUCAGACUGAAAACAAAAUCCUGGGUGUCCAUUGCCUCCAUCACAUUGUGCUUAACGUGCCAGCUGCUGAUUUGCUGCAGUACAACAGGGCUCAGGUCCUCUACCACGCCCUUUUCAACCACCUGUACGCACGGGAACACCACCUCAUUCAGGCUGUGCUCCUGUGUCUGCUGGAUUUAUUCCCCAUCCUGGAGAAAGCCCUGCACUGGAAGGGAGAUGGGGCCCGACCCACCACACAGUGUGAUGAGGUCCUGCAGUUGAUCCUGACGCACAUGGAGCCCGAGCACCGCCUUCUCUUACGUAGGACUUACGCGAGAAACCUACCAGCUUUUGUGAAAAGGUUGGGGAUCUUAACUGCCCGGCACUUGAAAAGGCUGGAGCGAGUCAUCAUUGGUUACUUGGAGGUAUAUGAUGGACCCGAGGAGGAGGCCAGAUUGAAGAUACUGGAAACCCUAAAACUUGUCCUGCAGUAUACUUGGCCCAGAGUCUCCUGUAGACUUGUGGUCUUACUGAAGGCUCUCUUGAAACUGAUAUGUGACGUAGCAAGGGAUUCAAGCCUCACACCCGAGAGUGUUAAGAGUGCCUUGUUAGAAGAGGCCACCAACUGCCUGAUUCUCCUGGACCGCUGUGCUUCGGGACGGGUGAAGGUAAGGGACCGUCCACUGCUCGGUUUCGGUGAGGCCUUGACAUCCUCAGGCAAUUUCUGUGAUCGUUUCGUGCCUGACCAAGUCUGUAAUUGGACAUGGAAGGUUCUAGUCUCUACCUCUGAGUCUUUUAGCCUUCAGCAGAGUUUGAUCAAUACCUUAUUCUCCCUUUAAAGCUAUUCAGGACUUUUUAGAUGAAAAGGCAAGAGGAUCAGUGGAUGCUUCUGGAGCUAGGAGAGAGAAUGGGCAAAAGGAUCAUGAUCAAGAGUUUGCAAAAUGGUAAUUCUGUUCUAGUGGUCCGAAUGAAAAGAAAAAGUAAAAAUAAUGGUCUGUAAUCCACUAAGGAAUAAUUUAGGUAGAGUAAGUAAUUCAGGUAACAGAAAUGUUUCCAGUUUUUCAGAGGCAACGAUGUUUUCCACAUACUUUAUUUAUCCAUGUGGGAAUUCUUCCUUUGGUCUCAUAUUCCACAGAAGUUUACUUUUCCAAGCCAUCGCAUAUAACAGCUGUGUGUCCAUGUAUACAUAAUUUAUAAAUCAUUGUCUCAAAAUCUUCAAUUUAAAGUUAUAGGCAGCAUGAAAAAAAAUUAACAUCCUAAAAAUAUUGAGGGACACUAUAUUCAUCUUGGCUUUUUACCUCAAGCAGUUUUCAAGCCCUAGAUCUAAUCUGCUUCAUGCUGGCUGGCAGAAAGCUGCUGCUUCGUGAGCCAGUAGGACAUUUCCAGUUCCCAGCGUCACACCAGUUCUGUGAACUGCCCUAGUGUCAUCAGUUCUUUCCUUCUUUGAGUCUGAUACCAAGAACGAACCACUAAGGUGAAGUAACAAUCAGAAAAACAAGCCUGUUUGGUUUCACGUUUCAGGGUCUCCUGGCUAAAAUCCCCCACAGCUGUGAAGACAGUCAGGUGGGGAACUGCAUCCGAAGAGUGCAACAGCUUUCUGAAGGCGCUCCCUGCGACGCAACUUAAGACUUGUAUUACUUUCCUGAAGAGGAAAGGGUUGUCUUUCUCUUCCAGUUGUUUUCAAUGGAAUUAUUUCAGGCAAAAGCAUCUGAAGAGUCACUCUCUGCCUCCUGCUGUUCCAGGGCCUUGUCGAAGGCGUGGAUGGGGAAGUUGUAGAUGUCACCGUACUGAAGAAAAGAAACAUGGGUCAGCUUUCGCCAUGUUUGACCUUGUGCAUCAAGUCCACUCUCCAACCAGCAUAUUGUUUUUAUCAGUGAUUAAAUAAAAACAUUUAGUUUGAUAAGUAAUAGUACUAUAUUAUGUUCAAGCCUAGAGCCAGUGAUGUCUUUAAAAAACCCAUAUUUGACAUUUAAAUAAUCAGCAGUUAAUACCAAACUGGUAACUUCUAUCAAGGAUGGACGCCAGAUGAGUUAAAAUUUAAUAGUAUAUAAAACCCAUGGAUUGAAACAAAUGUAGUUUUACCAACAAAGAGGAAAUAAGGUUUAAAAAGCAUUAUUUUAUUCAUGUUGUCUCUUUAAGUGACAUUCAUUUUUCAAAAGAGAAUAAAAAUUCAUUUUAAAGAACCUUAAAAUUCAACCUAGGAUGAAUACGCAGGAGGAUCAAAGCUGUGUGGCUUUUGUAGAGACCUGGAAUUGCUGUGUUUGGAGGAGGGGUUGGGAAUAAUGGCCAAAAGGAAAGGUCUCCAAACUCGAGUAUCAAGGGUUAACUGCAGUAGUUUACAUGCUUGCAUUACAAGCCAGAGCUAAUAUGAUAUUUAUUUUAUUCCAGGAAUAAAAUCAAGGUAAGGCUCUUUCUAACAUCUUUAAAAAUAAACCCCAUUUCCAACUAGUCCCAUAUCUCCUAGCAUAUUUCCACCUAAAAAAUAAAAUCUGUACCCCAAA